rnacentral:tRNA from 1 species
GCCUAAUUCGCUCGGUGGUAGAGCAAUCGGUGAAUCGCCGAUACACGUAGGUUCGAUCCCUACAUUGGGCA